CCUACGGGUGGCAGCAGUGAGGAAUAUUGGACAAUGGACGAAACUCUGAUCCAGCCACGCCGCGUGAAUGAAGACGUCUCUAUGUGUUUAAAGCUGUAUUUGCACGAAGGUAAAUGCCGAUACGCGAUUAAGACUCCCCGGCUAACUAGGUGCAAGCAGCGGCGACACUACGUAGGGGGCAAGCGUUAUCCGGAUUUACUGGGUGUAAAGGGGGCGUAGUCGGCUGGAAAAGUCUGGAGUGAAACGCCGGGGCUUAACCCCGGAACUGCUUUGGAUACUGUGCAGCUAGAGUGUAGGUGCGGUAGGCGGAAUGCAUGGUGUAGCGGUGAAAUGCUUAGAGAUCAGGCGGAACACCAGUGGCGAAGGCAGCUUAC
rnacentral:rRNA from 1 species